CUGGCUCAGGACGAACGCUGGCGGCGUGCCUAAUACAUGCAAGUCGAGCGAACCGAUGAAGAGCUUGCUCUCAAAGGUGAGCGGCGGACGGGUGAGUAACACGUGGGCAACCUGCCUGCAAGAUCGGGAUAACUCCGGGAAACCGGGGCUAAUACCGGAUGAUGCAUUUCGCUGCAUGGCGGAAUGCUAAAAGGCGGCUUCGGCUGUCACUUGCAGAUGGGCCCGCGGCGCAUUAGCUAGUUGGGGAGGUAACGGCUCCCCAAGGCGACGAUGCGUAGCCGACCUGAGAGGGUGAUCGGCCACACUGGGACUGAGACACGGCCCAGACUCCUACGGGAGGCAGCAGUAGGGAAUUUUCCGCAAUGGGCGCAAGCCUGACGGAGCAACGCCGCGUGAGUGAGGACGGCUUUCGGGUUGUAAAACUCUGCUCUUCGGGAAGAACGGUGGUCGGGUGAAUAGCCCGAUUGCGUGACGGUACCGAAGGAGAAAGCCCCGGCUAACUACGUGCCAGCCGCAGC
rnacentral:rRNA from 1 species